GAGCACGUAGGUGGGUUUGUAAGUCAGAUGUGAGAGCCUUCUGUUCAACGGAAGAAUUGCAUCUGAAACUGCGAGUCUUGAGUGUAGGAGGGGAGGAUGGAACUUCUGGUGGAGCGGAGAAAUGCGUAGAUAUCAGAAGGAACUCCGGCGGCGAAAGCGAUUCUCUGACCUAUUACUGACACUCAGUGUGCGAAAGCUAGGGGAGCAAACGGGAUUAGAUACCCCGGUAGUCCUAGCCGUAAACGAUGGGCACUAAGUAGAGGGGUUUU
rnacentral:rRNA from 1 species